UACGUAGGGUGCGAGCGUUAAUCGGAAUUACUGGGCGUAAAGCGUGCGCAGGCGGUUUGUUAAGACAGAUGUGAAAUCCCCGGGCUUAACCUGGGAACUGCAUUUGUGACUGGCAAGCUAGAGUAUGGCAGAGGGGGGUAGAAUUCCACGUGUAGCAGUGAAAUGCGUAGAGAUGUGGAGGAAUACCGAUGGCGAAGGCAGCCCCCUGGGCCAAUACUGACGCUCAUGCACGAAAGCGUGGGGAGCGAACAGG
rnacentral:rRNA from 1 species